rnacentral:rRNA from 1 species
AAAAACAUCACCUCCAGCAUUCCCAGUAUUGGAGGCAUUGCCUGCCCAGUGACAACUGUUUAACGGCCGCGGUAUCCUGACCGUGCAAAGGUAGCAUAAUCAUUUGUUCUCUAAAUAAGGACUUGUAUGAAUGGCCGCACGAGGGUUUUACUGUCUCUUACUUCCAAUCAGUGAAAUUGACCUUCCCGUGAAGAGGCGGGAAUGCACAAAUAAGACGAGAAGACCCUAUGGAGCUUUAACUAACCAACCCAAAGAGAAUAAAUUUAACCAUUAAGGARUAACAACAAUCUCCAUGAGUUGGUAGUUUCGGUUGGGGUGACCUCGGAGAAUAAAAAAUCCUCCGAGCGAUUUUAAAGACUAGACCCACAAGUCAAAUCACUCUAUCGCUCAUUGAUCCAAAAACUUGAUCAACGGAACAAGUUACCCUAGGGAUAACAGCGCAAUCCUAUUCAAGAGUCCAUAUCGACAAUAGGGUUUACGACCUCGAUGUUGGAUCAGGACAUCCUGAUGGUGCAACCGCUAUCAAAGGUUCGUUUGUUCAACGAUUAAAGUCCUACGUGAUCUGA